UACGGAGGGUGCAAGCGUUAUCCGGAUUUACUGGGUUUAAAGGGUGUGUAGGCGGAUCUUUAAGUCAGUGGUGAAAUCUCCGAGCUUAACUUGGAAACUGCCAUUGAUACUAUUGAUCUUGAAUUCUGUUGAGGUAGGCGGAAUAAGUCAUGUAGCGGUGAAAUGCUUAGAUAUGACUUAGAACACCGAUUGCGAAGGCAGCUUACUAAGCAGAUAUUGACGCUGAGGCACGAAAGCGUGGGGAUCAAACAGG
rnacentral:rRNA from 1 species